GGUGGCCCAGUGGUUAGAGCGUCCGUCUCAGAUGCGUAAGGUCGUGGGUUCGAUGUUUGGUCGAGUCAUACCAAAGACU